rnacentral:rRNA from 1 species
AAUGAACGUUGGCGGCGUGGAUUAGGCAUGCAAGUCGCGCGAGAACCCGCAAGGGGGACAGCGGCGAAAGGGACAGUAAUGUGUAGAUUAUCUGCCCUCAGGUCCGGGAUAGCUGCGGGAAACUGCAGGUAAUACCGGAUAGCAUCUCCGGAUCAAAGGUGUGAUUCCGCCUGAGGAUGAGUCUACAUCCUAUUAGCUAGUUGGUAGGGUAAUGGCCUACCAAGGCUGUGAUGGGUAGCGGGUGUGAGAGCACGACCCGCGUCAUUGGGACUGAGACACUGCCCAGACACCUACGGGUGGCUGCAGUCGAGAAUCUUCGGCAAUGGGCGCAAGCCUGACCGAGCGACGCCGCGUGUGGGAUGAAGGCCUUCGGGUUGUAAACCACUGUCAGAGGGGAUGAAAUGCGGGUGGGUUCUCCCAUUCGUUUGACAUAGCCUCAGAGGAAGGACGGGCUAAGUUCGUGCCAGCAGCCGCCGUAAGAC